UACGGAGGGUGCAAGCGUUAUCCGGAUUCACUGGGUUUAAAGGGUGCGCAGGCGGAUAUGUAAGUCAGUGGUGAAAUCUCUGGGCUUAACCCGGAAAUUGCCAUUGAUACUAUAUAUCUUGAAUGCUGUGGAGGUAAGCGGAAUAUGUCAUGUAGCGGUGAAAUGCUUAGAGAUGACAUAGAACACCUAUUGCGAAGGCAGCUUACUACGCAGAGAUUGACGCUCAUGCACGAAAGCGUGGGGAUCAAACAGG
rnacentral:rRNA from 1 species